ACGAUAUCAAAACUACGUAGAGCAAUUUCUGAACCUGGGUGUAGUGGGUCUUGGAGUCGCUGAGGACUUCGCUGACGUAAUACACUAGGCGUUGCACCAUGUGAACAUGGCCCGCCUCUUGGAGCUCCACAACUAGCACGGUGCUAACAACAUGCGUCGUUGCAGAGAUGUAAAGGUACAACGUUUCUUGAUCAGCCUAGGCCAUCAUGACGGUAGGAGUGGUGAGGAAAGCCUUGAGCUCUUCGCACUACUAGAAAAAUGACCUCUCGUCCAUGACCUCAGUACUGGUCACAUUUGAAUACAGUACUAAUGCUAACAUUAGUACCGGGUCCAAAUUUAAGAUCCUCCGGAGGCCCUUUAGUACCGGGAGGGGGCACCACCCAGUACUAAAGCUCCAACUACUGGCCCCUCCCCCCUCUCUCCCUCUCUCUCAUCAAUAAUUCUUAUCCUACUGCUCCCAUCCGCAAAUUCUCUAUCUCUCUCUCUCCCGUCUGCUCCCCUCCCCUCUCCUCCCCACACUUCAUCUCAUCUCUCGCAGUAGCGUGGCACACCGCUGCCCACUGCCGCCCCUCCCCUCCCCCCUCCACGCACCCCUCACCGGCGGUGAGGAGCAGCAGCGGGACGAGGUGAGGUGGUGGCGGCCAUCGGGGCGGCGGGGAGUGGCCGGCAAAUCGGCAGC
rnacentral:lncRNA from 1 species